GAUGAAGAACGUAGCGAAAUGCGAUACGUAAUGUGAAUUGCAAAUUCAGUGAAUCAUCGAGUCUUUGAACGCACAUUGCGCCCCCUGGUAUUCCGGGGGGCAUGCCUGUCCGAGCGUCAUUGCUGCCCUCAAGCACGGCUUGUGUGUUGGGCCCCGUCCUCCGAUCCCGGGGGACGGGCCCGAAAGGCAGCGGCGGUACCGCGUCCGGUCCUCGAGCGUAUGGGGCUUUGUCACCCGCUCUGUAGGCCCGGCCGGCGCCUGCCGAUCAACCCAAAUUUUUUAUCCAGGUUGACCUCGGAUCAGGUAGGGAUACCCGCUGAACUUAAGCAUAUCAAUAAGCGGAGGA
rnacentral:misc_RNA from 1 species